UGGAUUAGUGGNGAACGGGUGAGUAACACGUGAGUAACCUGCCCCUGACUCUGGGAUAAGCCCGGGAAACUGGGUCUAAUANCGGAUAUGACCAUGGGACGCAUGUCUUGUGGUGGAAAGAUUUAUCGGUUGGGGAUGGACUCGCGGCCUAUCAGCUUGUUGGUGAGGUAAUGGCUCACCAAGGCGACGACGGGUAGCCGGCCUGAGAGGGUGACCGGCCACACUGGGACUGAGACACGGCCCANACUCCUACGGGAGGCAGCAGUGGGGAAUAUUGCACAAUGGGCGCAAGCCUGAUGCAGCGACGCCGCGUGAGGGAUGACGGCCUUCGGGUUGUAAACCUCUUUCAGUAGGGAAGAAGCGAGAGUGACGGUACCUGCAGAAGAAGCGCCGGCUAACUACGUGCCAGCAGCCGCGGUAAUACGUAGGGCGCAAGCGUUAUCCGGAUUUAUUGGGCGUAAAGAGCUCGUAGNNNGUUUGUCGCGUCUGCCGUGAAAGUCCGAGGCUCAACCUCGGAUCUGCGGUGGGUACGGGCAGACUAGAGUGAUGUAGGGGAGACUGGAAUUCCUGGUGUAGCGGUGAAAUGCGCAGAUNUCAGGAGGAACACCGAUGGNGAAGGCAGGUCUCUGGGCGUUUACUGACGCUGAGGAGCGAAAGCUUGGGGAGCGAACAGGAUUAGAUACCCUGGUAGUCCAUGCCGUAAACGUUGGGCACUAGGUGUGGGGGACAUUCCACCGUUUCCGCGCCGUAGCUAACGCAUUAAGUGCCCCGCCUGGGGAGUACGGCCGCAAGGCUAAAACUCAAAGGAAUUAANGGGGGCCCGCACAAGCAGCGNAGCAUGCNGUUUAAUUCGAUGCAACGCNAAGAACCUUACCNANGCUUGACAUGUUCCAGACC
rnacentral:rRNA from 1 species